rnacentral:pre_miRNA from 1 species
UUCAAGUAAUCCAGGAUAGGCUGUGGGCUGAGCCGGCCUGUCCUCGGUUGCUUGGCCU